rnacentral:rRNA from 1 species
AGAUUGAACGCUGGCGGCAUGCCUAACACAUGCAAGUCGAACGGGAGUAGCAAUACUCUAGUGGCGGACGGGUGAGGAAUACGUAGGAAUUUGCCCUUAAGUGGGGGAUAACCCGGGGAAACCCGGAUUAAUACCGCAUGACCUCGAAAGAGCAAAGUGGGGGAUCGCAAGACCUCACGCUUUUGGAGAAGCCUACGUCGGAUUAGCUAGUUGGUGAGGUAAUGGCUCACCAAGGCGACGAUCCGUAACUGGUCUGAGAGGAUGAUCAGUCACACCGGAACUGAGACACGGUCCGGACUCCUACGGGAGGCAGCAGUGGGAAUAUUGGACAAGUGGGCGCAAGCCUGAUCCAGCAAUGCCGCGUGUGUGAAGAAGGCCUUGGUUGUAAAGCUACUUUAAGUUAGGGAAGAAAAACGUCGACGUACUAACGAC